rnacentral:tRNA from 1 species
AAGAAGUUAGUUAAAUAAUAACAUUAAUAUGUCAUAUUAAAAUUAUUAGAAUUAAAAUCUAAUAUAUCUUU